GAACCAAAGCCGGAUGCUUAGCCGGCUGAACCACCCAGGCACCCCAGAAAGGAGUUGCAAUUUUAAAUAGAGCAGUCAGAGUGAGUCUCACUGAGACCUUGCAUUGAGUCUGACAUGCAGCUCUCUGGGGCAGAGUGAAUGUUCCAGGCAGAGGGAGCAGCCAGUGCAAGAAUCCUGAGGCAGGAGCACCUGAGGACCUAUGAGGAGUAGUCAGGAGUCCACUGUGGCCGGAACAGGGUGAGUGGGAGGCACAAAGGAAGGACGGAGAGGUCGGCCCUGCCCCAGUCGGAACCUGUAAGGAUUUUCAUUUUCACUCUGUGGGACCUUUGAACAGAGAAGCAUAUGACCUGAGUUGUGUUGUAAAAGAUUGUCUGUCGGUGCUGAGUUCAGACUGGACUCAGGAGGGGCAGGGAGGCUGUGGAGAGACCGGGCAGAGAGGCCACUCACUGCAGGAAUGCGGAUAAUCCAGGACCGUCCUGUCUGCAAAGUCUCCUUUGUCAUGAACACUGGGAUUCCCAGGUUCCAGGUCUUGUCCCUGGCAUUCACUUUACCCUUGUGUGUGGUCUCCACGUGCUGGAAGGGCAGCUUCAGCGGUCUGGCAACUUAGAGCUUACAGGAAGGAGCCAAGAGCUAGAAAGAACAGCUUCCUGACUCUUCAUUUUCCUGGGACAAAGACUGAAUAGAAAAUCCUGUUAUUAGAAAGGGAGCUUUCCAGGGAAAACACUGAAGCAACAGCCUCUCCUUCGCAUUGUUCUGUUUCCAGAAACUGGAGGAGUAUUCUGCACAGCCAGGGACCCAGGCUCAGUUAAUGUGUAAGCUGAAGACCACUCAAGACCGCAACUCAUUGGCAGCAACAAAAGCCACCAGUCAUACUGGAGGCUGCCACUUGCCGGCGCCUUUUGUAAGUGUCCUCUGUGUAUGAGUUAGGUAUUUGUACCCCUGUUUUACAUUUUUGAAGCUGUCCAGGGAGGCAGAAGAUGAAGCUCACGGUUGCAUGUGCAGGCAUGGGCAGCCUGCCUCUCGCUACGGGGGGCUAUGCUUUCUUCCUCCCGACGGAUCACAGAGUUUUUCAGAGCCAGUUACGGAGAAGUUCAGGAAAUGCUUCUCGUGUUUUGAAGCUUGCCACAUUAGAUGUGAAUGUCUGCGGCACCACAAUGGCGUGUUGGUGCGAUUGUCACUCCAGACGCAGCAGCUCAGAUCAGCAGGGAGGUUUCGGCAGGGGAAACGUGGACCAUCACCAUGGGCGCUCUGCAGAUGCGGGUACAGUGAGCCCCCGCGCGGUCCCCAUGCACCUGUCGCCAUCACCACCACCUCCGCCAAGGGAGGACAAUCCAGGACCCAAGCAAAUCGUUAGCCCUUUGAUGUAUCAAGUAGGGAGGUGUGGGGAGAGGGGACCAGCCCAAGAUGUAGAAUCAGAAAGGCCAGGGCGUGAACCCUGGAGCCACCAAAUGCUUUACCAGCUGGGUGACCUCAGCUAAGACGCUGGGAGUUUCAGGAUCCUGGCUGUAAAAUGGAAAUAAUAAUCCAUCUUGGGGUUCGGUGUUAAGUGAGGUGACAGUGCUGGCCACCAGCAGGGCCACUCAUUAUGUCAUCUGCUGUGACGUGUAUAUCACGGGGCCUAGAACACCUCGUCCUCUCCCCUCCCCCCUCCCCCCUCUUACUUUGCCUUCACGCCGCUCUGAUCCCGAAAGACGGUUUCGUUCUGGCCUUGGGCGUCUCCAGUGGAACAUCUCCAACCACUUUAAUUCCUAUCUCCAGCAGGUGACAUUCGAAGAUGCUUCCCAUUUACCCCAGGAGUUGGGAAACACUGUAAUAUUCUCCUCUAAUUAUCUGUGUCUCAGUGGGAAGCCUGACAUUAUAAUUAACUUGGGCUCCUGUCUGGGAUGACAUUUUGCGCAGCAUAUUGUGUUCCUGGGUGAGCACCGUAGCAGAAGCUGGUAGCGUGCUCCCCGGUGACGCGGUUGGGUUUGAGCAGGAGAACUGGCACAGAGCCCCCGAGGGUGAAAUCAUAACUGGGAUUCCUGCAGGCCCCCCCCACCACCUCCCCAGUGCAACAGGGCAACUUUAAAAUUCACUACCAACUCCUGCCAUGGGUUACAGACCCCUGCCUGUGCCCUACCGACUGGCCGGAACACGUGAGCUAUGUUCUGGAGCUGCAUGAGGAGUGGGGCGCCUGGGUGGCUCAGUCAGCUGAGGGUCUGACUCCUGGCUUCUGCUCUGGUCAUGGUCUCACGGUUUCGGGAGUUCGAGCCCCGCAUCGGGAUUCUCUGUCUCCCUUUCUGUCUCUGCCCCUCCCCAACUUGGGCUGUCUCUGUCUCUCUCAAAAUAAAUAAACUUAAAAAAAAAAUUAAAGCUGCAUGAGGACUAGGGUUAAAAUCAAGACUCAUUUCUACAUCUGCUGGAUUAUGUCAUCCUCCCAUCUAUUAUGUAAAUGAAAGGGAAAAAUUAAGGCAAGAGAAUCUGAACAUGUUUUUGUCUGAAGACUCAAUGUUUCCGGUAAAUUCCAAUUGUCUUUUUACUCUGGCCAGGCAGUUAUCAGCCACCUCACGGUUUUCCUAAGUCCUCCCAGACCUGCACUGUCCGGGACAGCAGCUAGUAGCUAUAGGGACAGACAAGCGUAGGUUCUGGAGUUAGAAAGCCUGAGAUCCCGAGCCACCAAAUGCUGUCCUAUUUAUUUGUCAGAUUUAAACAAAAUGCAGAAUUUAAAUCCUCAGUCACACCUAGCCACAUGUCAAGUGCUGACUAGCCAUCCACAGACAGUGGCUACCAUAUUGGACAGCACAGGUACCGAACAAUUCUGUCAUCACAGAAAGUUCUAUUGGAUGGCACUGGCCUGGACCCUUAGCAAAACAAUGUUAACUCCACAGGUUAUCUAGAGCCUACCUCAGCUUGCCUUGGGCCGAGUUCUAUUUAGGGGAGACAUCCUGUUCCCCGAGACAGGUGUUCUUGGUUGUGCGGUCGGGCAUCAAACGUAUUUUACGAAUAAAAUGCCUUACGUUUCAAAAUUUGAAAAUAAGUGGGUUUUGUUAAAGUAAGCUAAGGGGAGGACAGAGUCACCCCUGUGGUGCCAUCAUUCUUGUUCCCUUUGGUUCUGAUCUGGCUUCUGAUUUCUCAGAUGGGGUGGGAGGCAGCUUUUGCAGAGAAAUCACAGCAGGCUCGUCACCACGUCUAAUGUCAAGGAGAUGGAAAGAGCCACUCCAAGGAUGAUCUUGUCAUUCUCUGCUCCGGGUGACACACACCUGCCCCCCGAGCAAGCCAGCAUACUUGUCUGUGCCAGCUUAGCCCUCUCACAGAACAGAUUCUCUUGCCUCAGCUCGGGUUUCGAAGGAAGGACAUUAACUGUCACGUGAAAAUCGCCACAGCAUUUACUGUCACUUUUUUUUUUUUUUUUUUUUUUUUUUGCUGGGAACAUUGCCUAGUUCAUCCCCCAAUGCUCCCAAAUAAGGUAUUUAGUUUAGAAUGCACCACCUGAGAAAGCUUUGCCUCGCUUGUGGAAAUGGUAUUCAUAAUUUAUUGUGUAUGCCUUUUCUUUCUUCCCUCGGCUGAUAAGAACACAGAGCCCCAUUGCCAUCAAGAUAAGAAGGAAGUGCAUUCUGAUGGUCUCAUUAUUGGAAUUCUUCUCUUCUUGUACAACCUACUACUGUAUUGUCCUUUAAUCCAUUUCAAAAGGAGGGAGGUUACUCAUUAAUUGGCACAUGCGAUUUUAUUCCUUUGUCUCCGGUUUCCUUUGUUUCCUGGGCACAGGUACGAUUUCUAAUCCAGAUACCUGAAAAAUACUUUUGUCUGGUUUGUAAUGGAGACUGGGGGCCAGGUGAGAGGUGGUGCAGUCAUCUGUUUAUAAUGUUCAACCAAACAAUCGACUGAUACGUCCUGUGUGUGGAGGCUGCUAGAUCCCCCAUGUCCAACAGGAAUACAAUGUAAUCUGUAUCUCCGUUGUUAGCUUCCUAGUAGCCAUUUUUUAAAAAAAUGUAAAAAGCAAGUGAAACUGAUUUUUAAUUUUUUUUUAGCGUUUACUUAUUUUUGAGAGUGAGAGAGUCCGAGCGGGGGAGGGAUAGGGAGAGAGAGAGGGAGACACAGAAUCUCUAGAAGGUUCCAGGCUCUGAGCUGUCAGCACAGAGCCCGACGUGGGGCUUGCACUCACAAACCAUGAGAUCGUGACCUAAGCCGAAGUCAAACGCUCAACCAACUGAGCCACCCAGCUGCCCCAAGACUAAUUUUUAAUGCAUAUUCUAUUUAACCCAAAUAGUCAAAAUCUUAUUAUUUCAACAGACUCAAUGUAAAAAAUUGAGACAUUGUACAUUCUUUUUUUUUCCACACUAAGUCUUUGAAAUGCAGCGUGUAUUUUACACUCUGGGCACAACUCAGUUCGGAGGCUAAAUUUUUAAUGGUUCAAGUGAAAUGUAGUCCCCUCAAAACAAAGCUGUGUAGAGUGGAGAAAAAAAAAUAUUAUAUACAUUUCUUCGGUUUUCAGAUGUAAACUUAAGUUAAUUAAAACAAAAACAAAUCAUUCAUUGUCUCAGUCCCACCAGCCAAAUCCCAAGUGCUUCGCGGCCACACGUAGCUAGUAGCCGCCGUGUCCGAUGGCAUGGAUCUAGAUGCUCUGAGAGCUACAAACAGGAUAAAAAACAGCCCUUGCCUCAAAAGAGCUUCCCGUCUGGCAGACAGGAUGAAGUUUAUACACACACGUAUUAUGAUGCAGUGCAGAACGAAUCCAUUGUCCCCAGAAGUCAAAGCAGUAAGUGCAAGCCUUUGGAGCAAGGGUGUCAUUUCUUUUGGCUCUGUGUGGUUUAAACAAUAAUACUUACUACUCGCAGACUUGACAUUGAAACCCAGGCCUUGUAGGACUGACUGGGUGCCAGUGAUCCCACCCACAGCAGAGAGGAUGGAGGAGGCCAGCGGGAAUGCCCUGGGCAGCGGCACAUGGGAAAGGUCAAGGCCACUGGCUCAAUACCAGGCUGUUCUCUUUCUUCCUGCUAGUUAAUGAGAUUAGUGUCUCGAGCCUCGGCACUGACCUACCUUCACAUGCACCGGGCAGAUCAUCUUUUGUGUCAGAACUACAAUGUUGCUGCUGUGCUCGGCCCGGGCAGCUCCACGCUGGGCCAAGGCUGCCAUGAGAAAUACCUGCAGACCCUUUCCUCCACCUGGAGAAGCCAUCCCGAGGACAGGUUGUUCCUGCAGACUGGCCCGCUGCUUCCGUCCCAGAACUCAAAGACAUUAUCAUGUCCAGAGUCCCACGUGACCCAUGUUGGCUUUGCGAUGAUCUUUGCCCAGCGCUUGACUUGUCUUUGCUUCACUGUAAAAAGAAUCGUAGCUUCUCUCAAACUUUGAUUUAUAAAAAUACCCGAAGCCUUGGCGGGCAGAUUAAUCCUCCAAGGAACAUCUCAUCUGCUGAUGUGUCCCCGUCCCCUGUUGGGGUGGCCUCAACUCUUGAGAAGCUAUAGCAGAUAACAGGACUAAUCAGGUGAUAAUAUUUGAGGUACUAACUUUAUAAUAGUCCCAGCUCAUUCAUAUUCAUAUAUGCUAAUUUUAGCACACAUUAAUUAUGUGUUUAAUAAGUCCCCUGUUUAUUCUAUUUUGUCUCCAUUCCCUUGAUAGCUGUUAUGGUGUGGGGUUGAAAAUAAUUAAAAUGUUACUUGUGUUCUGCAAAUAACAAAUAACCAAGGAUGAAUUCUGAAAUCAAAAUCCCAUUCUCUUCCCCUCUCUCUGAUUAAAUACAGUGAGUGAAACGGCAGCCCAGUGUAGCUCUGUUCCCCGCGCAGUUGGUGUGUUUCCCUUUUCAGGGUGGUAAGUGCCAGAGAUGGGUCCUGGCCUGACUCAAACAGCCUCCGUUGCCUUGGGCUCCUAUCUUCUUUUUUUUUAUUUUUUUUAUUUUUGGGACAGAGAGAGACACAGCAUGAACAGGGGAGGGGCAGAGAGAGAGGGAGACACAGAAUCGGAAACAGGCUCCAGGCUCUGAGCCAUCAGCCCAGAGCCCGACGCGGGGCUCGAACUCACGGACCGCGAGAUCGUGACCUGGCUGAAGUCGGACGCUUAACCGACUGCGCCACCCAGGCGCCCCGGCUCCUAUCUUCUUGUGGACCUGGAGACACACAUUCGGGAGUGGUGAGCUCCCACGGGGCUGUGGGAGACGAGGAGGGAGGCUGUUCUCCACAGAACACACAGGGGGUUGGAAGCUGGCAAGUUCUGUCUGUGGGAAGCCCCCAGGGGGGCUGUGACGGACCCCAGCUUCCUCCCACACCUGGGUCCAAGCCACGUCUAGCCACCCGUCCUUCAGCAGUUCAGCACCUUGGAGAAGAGACAGCCCCCUGGCCUGUGAUUUUUGCAUGUUACCUGCCCAAAGGGUGGCACCACGACCUCAUGCAGGGCCUCGUCCUAGUCAGUCACCCUCUGGCUGCUCUUGCAGUGGCUGGUAGCUAUUGGGAAUAGACAUCGGGCCCCAUUUCCUGUUGCCUUGGAUCUCGUGCCACAUCUUGCCCUGCUCCAAAGUCCUACAAAAUACCAGCACAUAGUUACUCUUCCUGCCCCUGAACUCUUUCUUCCCUGACUGCUUCUCUUUCCUAACCCUGGGAGUGGCCCCAAGCUGUCGAUCUUUGCAGCCCAUGCCCAUGACAUGCCCCACUGUCAGCUUUGUAGAGCACAGAUCCCUCAGCUUGAGCCAAACAGCUAUUAUAAACGGGGCUCGAAUGAGUGCUUGAAAAGAAAUCCAUCGCCCCUUUUGGUCAGCAAUUCUACUCAAGAGAAAAUGCACAAGGAGGGGAAUCUCAAAUAGAUCUGUCUUGUUAAUGGGCUACCAAAAAAACUAAUUAGAAAAUAAUCCAGGGGUGCUUGGGUGGGUCAGUUGGUUAAGCCUCUGACUGUUGAUAUCAGCACAGGUCAUAAUCUCACAGUUCAUCAGUUCAAGCCCUGCAUUGGGCUCUGCACUGGCAGCUCAGAGCCUGCUUGGGAUUCAGUCUCUCUCUCUCUCUCUCUCUCUCUCUCUCUCUCUCUCUCAAAAAUAAGUAAGCUUAAAAAAAAAAGAAUAAUAAAAUAACCCAAAGCUUAUGGGAUUUGGAAUUUGGAAAUUGCCUUGGAAUGAUAGCAAUUUAGACUAGCCAAAUUCUCCAUUUCCACACGUAAGUAAGAGCUAGGAAUCAGAAUCUAUAGUUUUUAUCUUACUGUGUAAAUAACUGUGUGUGGUUUGUAUAUAUUACAACUUCAGCAAGUUGUGAUUUCCAGACCCGCGAAGGAAGGUGAGUCAGUGUGGCCCCACCUCCCUGCCUCCCAGGUGACAGGAGGAUAAACUUUGACCAGGGACAUGAGCCUGCCUGAGGAGUAAAGGGACCAGAGAGACAGUGGUUUCCCUGACUACCGGAUACAGUAGUUAAAAGCAGUGUUUGUCCACACCUUCCCUUCCACAUCCCCAUUUCCUCCGAGCCUCAGAGCGACAAAUUCAUCAUCUCUUGCUCUGAUUAAAGUUCAGAGCUGUCAUUUCCAGAUAUUUUGUUCAUUUGCUCUUCAGUAUGUUCUCAGAAAUGCUUCCCGGUGCAGAGAUGUUAGAGAAGAAGCAGGGACGUGCUGGUGGGGAAAAAAAAAAAAAAAAUCUCUGACUCCCAUUUUCAGGUGCAAAUUUUUAAAUGUCAAUACAGCAACAUAGCCGUCUUCUCCCGUCUGCUUUUAAUCAAAUGCUUUUCUCCAGCAGAGCCAUUUGUUUGCACAAUUAGCAAGUCCCAGAGGCAUCUUAACUUCCCUUUCUGUGCCCUGUUCUCAAGGGGCAGUCUCCCCUUCACACUAGGGCCAUGUGGGGCUUUUUUGUCAGGAGUGGGGUACAUGAUGAACUGAGCCACUGACCCCUCCAGAGGUCAGGGGAAAAUACCCAGGGGAGGAGAGCAGAGAGGUAGAAUUUUAGGCCCCAAGGACGGGGGGAGAUGCCGGGUUGUGUAUGGGGUUUGGUGGGGGUAUUUGGGGCCGUGCACCUUUCCAAGCUCCUUGGACUGUGCCCUGGCAGGGACACACUCUGCCCUGAUUUGCCCCAUCCUCCCGGGGCUCAGGAUAAGCUCUAGGUUUUGCCUCCCGGUGCUUCUGAAGAGUGCCCUGUUGCUUAGAGACAGGGCAGGACGCCUGGAGUGAAGAUAAGGUUGUCAAGGAAACCAAGCCACAAAUUCCCUUGUUUUUCUUCCAGUUGCUGGACAGAAGAGUAAAGGAUUUUCGCUCUGACAACUGGGAAGGUACCUUCUUUUCUGUGUGUGUUUUAGACAAACACCAAUUUGUUGUCCAAGAUACAGCCGAGUUAGUACCUGAGUCGACAAACAGGGUUGAGUUUUGCUUUUUUUUUUUUUCUUUUUAACAGCAGUGAGUGCUCUCUGACAGAGACAGAAUUAAGCAGCCACUGUAACGUGUAUCUUUUUUUCAGGUGUGUGGACCCCAGGACCCAACCCCCUCUGUUACACCACUGAGCUUUUUUGAAUCCUGAGUUUUCACUUAUUGCCCCAGCUUUUCUCUUUUGGUGGGAUUGUGAGUGUCUUUUUGGAAACUCGCAGCAGCAGCGGCCGCCCUUUCCGUCCUCCGUCUCUGAGUCAUUUCCAUGUUUCACAUGGUAGGAAUCAAGGAACGCAGACAUCUUCCUCUUAACUCUGGUGUUCAUAAUUCAGGAAAAAAAAGGCCUUUUGGGGUCAUCCUCAAGGGAUUCUUUGUUGAAGCCGCAGAAGUUCACAUCUGCUCUGUGCUCUUGUGUCAGUGGACUGCAGAGUCGGGGGUCCACAUAGUGGCACCCCCAAAUGCUCCCUCCACUCUGGGGAGUCUGAGGUACAGGUAAAGGGUUCUUCAUUUAUCGGUGGUGGCCAUUUUAGCUCCUGCUGGCAGCUUGAAGAAUCACCUGUGAGCGUGUGUCCCCUAGCUUUCUACAGACUUAAACCUGUUCCUACUUGUUAAGGAGAAGUGCAUCCUUGGCCCAUCUCCUUUUGUCCCCAUCUUCUGCCUGUGUAUUUCUCUUGAGCAGUGUUACCAGUUGUCUGAGUCCCUCUGAUGUGUUUCUCCGUGCCAUCCCCUGACCUUAUAAGGAACUUCUGCACCGCUCAGUGACACUUGGUUCUGCCCUUUUCCUGAGUUCUUGGGAACGUUUCAGCGCUCCAUGGAGACAUUGGAGGGUAACUCAAUCAAGUGAGGGGGGGUGGUGAAGACACAGUUACUGAGGGGAUGGUCUGCUCCAUUAGUGACCUAGAGAAAGGGCACCAGGAGCAGAGAGGAGGCAGCAGUUAACUCUGGGUCGGGGAUGCGAGUAGUCUGGGGAGCUGGGGAGGAAGGGCACACUAGGGCAGUUAGACAAUAAAAGAUGCAUAGGAUUUUGAUAAAUGGAAAGGGGAGAAAGAGAAGGGGCCUGGGUCUCUCUGGACCCCCAGACAUGGGUUGUCCUUGGCUAAAAUAUCCCUCCAGUGGUAACACACUAUUUUGUCUUGACUUCCAGUGUAGUGCUGAAGCUGUCUUUUCAGGGUUUUGCCCGUGAUCCCCUCCUCCCAUCCAAUGCCCUGGUGCUCCCUUAUUCACAAUUGGCCUCAGCCAGUAUGCUGCUCGGGUCUGUCCAGAGGCUGCCACAACCCCACCCUUCUCUGCUUCCUCCCCUUCCCUCUGUCCCCCUCCACCAUUUCUGGCCCAUCUUUUCACCUGGCCAACUUCCACUCAACCUUCAAUGCCCAGCUCAAGCAUCAUCUCCUUGGGGAACAUUACUUGAUCCCAUCUGCCCAGCAUGCCUCGGUGGCCCCUCCUGGUGACCCCAACCCUCAGGACUCCCCCCACAGCCUGCAUUUCCCAUUCUGCUCCACGCUGGCUUUAGAUUUCUAGACUCUCAAAAUCCAGACAGACACCUGCAGGUAGUGGCUCACCUUCCUCAUUUUUGGGGUUGGUUCUGUUCCCACCUGAAAUGGGGAAGGGCCUUGUACAGUGAGUCCCUGGUGAGCAGGGAGGUGGGAUAGGGAAGGAAGGCAUGCAGAGCUGAGGGGGACCCGGGGCUGCUGAGCAAAUGACCACAAACUCGGUAGCUUAAUGAACAGAAAAGUAUUGCCUCACAGUUCUAGAGGCUAGAAGUCCAAAGUCAAGGUGUCAGCAGGGUUGGCUCCUUGUGAGGCUGGGAGGGAAGGAUCUGUCCACACCUCUCUCCUCUGCUUACAGAUGGCAUCUUGUCCCUGUGGCUCUUGACAUCUUCCCUCUGUGCAUGUCUAUUCCAUAAGGACACCAGUCACGUUGGAUGAGGGGCCCGACCUACUCCAGGCUGACCUCCUCUUAAGUAAUUACAUCUGCACCACUGUAUUUCUAAACAAGGUCAUGUUCUGACGUACUAGGUGUUAGGACCUCAACAUAUGAACUGGGGCGGGGGGAGGGGGUGGGAACCGUGACAUUAUUCCACCCAUAGCACCCUCCUUCCAGGAAGACCAGACAAACACGUUCAACCUGCCUCUUCAAAACUUGGACUAUGAACAUAAACCACAUAUCACCUAAAUAUCAUCUAAUUAGUCACUCAGACCAGCCUAUUGAUGGCACGACAAUCUGUACCUGACCUGAAGGGCAGGUAGCCUGCAGGUUGAUUAAAUCAUUAAACCCAAAGAUCUCCAAGGCUGGAAUUCUGAUGCACUGUCACAAGGUGAAGACGGACAGAAGCAGGGACCUAAGUACAGUCCCGAAAUUAGAUUCCUCACCCCCAAACAGGUGAGAAAAGUGUCUUCAGGAGGAAGGAAGUGAAUUUGGAUUUUAAUUCCAUAAGAAGCUUAAUUGGGGGCGUCUGGGUGGCUCAGUCGGUUGAACGUCUGGCUCUUGAUUUCUGCUCAGGUCAUGAUUUCUCAGUUCGUGAGAUUGAGCCCUGCAUCGGGCUCUGUGCUGACAGCGCAGAGCCUGCUUGGGGUUCUCUCUCUGCCUCUCUGUCUCUCUCUCUCUCUCUCAAGGUAAAUAAAUAAACAUUAAAAAAACAGAAGCUUAAUCGUUCAUUCAAUCACGUAUUGAUUGAAGUGUUUGCUGCUCACCUCCUUUCUGCAAGGCGCGAGGUACCACUGGAGUUGAUAAGUGAACCUGGUGAAGCCGUUCCUUCCAGGGCUCAUGCUGUGUCUACUGUCACCUGGACAAGGGGAGGUACAAGGCAGGGUACCCUCCUCUGAGAAUCCAAUGAUAGAAGAGAGCCCCACAGCCUUGGUCUUGCAGACAAGGACCCCCCAGCAUGCUGGGCUAGAAACUGAGGCCAGAGUAGCAUCCAAGAUCACCGGGCCUUUUAGGCCAAAGCAGUGAAAAUGGAGGGGGUGUUGGCUGCUUUAUGUCUUGGGAGGACCACCAUGGGGAGCAGAGCCUGGGUUUGUCCCAUGUUCCCUCCCAAGCCGGAAGUAGAACGAACGAGUGAAAGGUAUAGGAGAAUAGAUGUUAGCACAGCAUAAGGAAUAACUUUUUCACAGUUGGAACUACCUAAAAGUGAACUAUUCUGGUUUAUCUCGAGAGGUAGUGAUCUUGUCAUAGCCAACCUGCUCUUUCUGGAGAAAGAGACCCCAGGAUCUGUCAUAGUCAGCCAUUCCUCUAUCUGAUGUAAUAUGACUGCCUCUAAAGAACCCUUGAAGUCAGAAAACACUCUCAAUCAAGCUAAUUGCUUUCUUUCCCAGACCACAGGGUUUGGAAGGAACUAGUUACUUAUUUAUUAGUGGAUUCGAGGUAAAUUUUCCUUUUGGAAAAAGAACUCUGUUCUUCAUAUUCCUCCACGUAAGCUCGGGCUGGGCUGUGGUGUAUGAAAUCUAAUCUCCUACCAGGAAAUGAUUAUUUAUUUGAACGCUUCCCCCAAAUCCAUUACGCACUCUGGAGCGUGAGUUUGGGGACGAUAGAUUUCAUAGCUGUGCUGUUGACACUUUGGGUUCAUUCUAUUCCAUACGAGCCCUUCUUCCACGCGUGGCCGGCAGUGAGUGAGGGGAUUAGGAAGUCCCCGCUGUGAUUGACAGAUGCCUCUGCAGAUAUGGAUCGCCUUUUCCACUAGCCUGGGAGUGUGUUCUUUGCCCCUGCUGCUUUCCUUAAUACGCUAGCUUUGCGCUUGUGGAUAAUUUGCGAUGUUCUUCAAGUAACUGUGCCACUGCUUUUCAAAUGUUUUGCUUCUUCUAAUUAAGAAAGGGAAUUGGAUGUACUCUUGCCUGGCUGAUUUUUUUUUUUUCCUCCUCUGCAUGGGAUGGGAACGGGAAGGAAGAG